AAAUACCGAUGGGAUCAUUUGGAGAAUACCGAUUCCGACACAGUAAAGUGUGAAGCUAUCUGAAAAGUGUUCCCGGGCAAUAUGAGGUAAAAACGUCCUAGAAGAGUAUUUUCUUGUACACACCGCAUUAAUUUUUUUUGCGUUUUUUUGAUUAGUAUUUAUGUAAAUAACAUUCAUCUCCAAUUGAAAUACCUUUAUGGCCUAAAAAGUAUUUUGAUAAAAAAAAAAAAGUUUACUUUAUGUGUCAUAGCAUCUACGCCAAGUUUCAUUGUUAUAAAUGGUGAUAAUGUCCCUUUUAUUCUUACUGAUAGAUUCGUUCUGCCUCAUGUCUUUAACCAUUAUUUUUAGUACAUAGAGUCAAAACACAAUUGUAGCUACGGUUGCUUAAAAAAAAGCACAAAAAAAACUAUGAUUAUAUCUCGCUACUUUUAAUUAGCUAAAAUAUAUUUUAUUAAAAUAGGUAAGACCCGUUUUUAACGAAUUUUCGUGUAUUUCAUUCAGAAAUAACAUCCUGAGCACACCACCUUUGUAGAAAAUUAACCCCACAAACUCCUAAGCCCCAUCUGCGUCAAGCGUUUGGAUAGCUAAAAUGACACUAUAAUCACGCUAUUCAAAGAAACAUUUCAUCACGAAUUAUAUCAACGUCUGGGGAAGAAAUGAUCUGUGGAAAGAGGCAUUUAAUGAAUUUAUAAAAUAAGUUAGUCAAUAUCAUGUUUCAUUUAUCUAUAUAGUACAAUAAGUUUUUCAUUUUUAACCUAAUUUAUUAAAACUUUUUUUUUUCAACAAUGUUUUGUUUACAUAAUGCAGUCGAAAAAUCAA